rnacentral:lncRNA from 1 species
UAAUCAAAUUAAGUCAAUUAGCAAUCAAAUUACUAAUCGAUCCUCCUGCAACACUUGCAUUGGGUUAAAUGUCAAUCGUAUUGAUCAUUUAACCCUAGAACGAUUCUUAAUUAUUGAUCAACCAUCCGAUCGGAUCAUGAACUCUAAUGUGUGUGACUUCAUAGGUCUGAAUCUAAGUCAGUAGCAUAGAAAUAAAUUUCUAUACCAAUCGAAGUGACCAUCUAGCAAUGGUACCCGACGAUCGGAUAGGUCGAAUGUGUAGAACAACAUCCUUAGAACCCAUGCGGAUAUAGUUUCC